GAACACAGCAGAAACAGGUUGUACCAUAAGCUGUUUGAAAUGUACUCUAAACUUGGGCUUAUUCUAUUGGGUAUUUCAUUCUUUCGUUCUUGCCCUGUCGACACGUGUAUUUGCACUAUUAUAUCACCAACGCUCGAUACUCUCAUCAGCAAACAUUGAGUCUCGAAGCUUCAGACUAGGAUCUCUGAAGUUCUCUUUCUCCUGCACUCCUCCAGUUUCAGGUCUCUUGUGAUUUUUCUUUCUUCUUUCUUUUGCAAUUGAUGAUAGUUUUCAGAGAAUAUAAUGAUAGGGAGAUUAUGGAUGUAGCAAUUUUCUCUUUCCCCGGUCUCUUUAUGCUUUUUUUGAAAUAGAUUAUAAACGAAGACAAUUCCUUAACAACCUAUUCAAGAAGAUGGAGACAAUAUCUCUUGCUCAAACUUCAGGAAACGCUGGUCAUCUGAAUCAAGUUUGGGUGUACUAAAUGAUCACAGUGUGUAUGAACUUUGAGAUGAAUUUAAGAGAGGGCAGCUGCAAUAAAAGGCAUGAUCCAUGUUUUGUUUAAAGUUUUCCUCUGUUUUUGCUCUCUAAUUUCUAUUCUACCUUCUAACUCUAAUUUUGUGUUUUCUCUUUCUAUUUUAUCUGUGCAUGUUACCGUUAUGGUACUUGAAAUAUCAAGAAUGUUGGAAUUUUCUUCAUUUUGAUUGUCUACUCACCAUUUAGGAUCUUUUAAGAUUUAAAAGGUGUGUAAAACUUGGCUCCUGAUUUUGCAGAUUGCAAUCUUUCCCCCUUCAAGUUGACACACAACAAUGAGGUACCUUCAUCUCCUUAUUGUGGUAUGUACCUCUUUUCAUGAAUGUUAAGUAUUGUUUUGGAAUCGACAAGUAAUUUUAUUACCUUUCAAGCCAUUUUCAAUUUGCUUCACCAUGUGUAUCUUGAAUUCCUUUUAUUUGCUUCGAUUGAAUGAAGAUGGGUGAGGUAGUUAUGUCAUUGUCAUUGGAUGUGUCCUCUUUACUGCAAUUUAUUUUAAUUAUCUAUUAUGAAGCUAGACUAUCAGUAGCAAUUCACUAAUUAGAGAUUAUGAAUUUACUAUGUUAACAAAAGGAAAAUGACGCAAUAGUCUACUAUGUUGCUGAUGCUCCAUACUUUGUUUAGCUUAUUAUUCAAGAGUCACCAACCUGAUGUGAACUUGUUCUCCCUUUAUAAUAAAAUUCAUUGGGUAUAGGAUAGUAGAUAUUUGAGGCAGGUUUACCCAAGAUGGUAGAUUAGGGAACAUGAACCAGAAUACAGGGGGAAACUUCUUUUUCUCAUCUUUCAGUUUUCCAUUUUACAUAACAGGAAAGCAGACGACGUCAAUUGACAGUCUCCAGUGUGUUAG